rnacentral:lncRNA from 1 species
CCACCCCCGGCCCCAGGCAGCAGUACCUCCAAGGCCUGGGCGGCAGGAAAGGGAGAGAUGACGUCAUUGCCGCCUGGAAUCUGCUGUUUGGAGGCGUCGCCAUGGAGACCGGAAGGCUCAGGGAAGGGGACCCUGCACCAUCUUGGCUGGGGUUGUAGCAGAUGCUCUGGUGUCCUGUGGCUCCUCCGCCCCACCCUCACAGCGCCCCACUGCAGGGCUGCAGUCAGAAGCCUCAGGUUGCAGCCUGCCCGACAGCUCAAGCUCAGCAGGGCCGAAUGGAGAAUGUGUACCUCCUCCUCCUAACAUUGUUAAAAAUAAAAUUUGUAUUUUGACACAAUCUCAAGCUUAUAGAAAAGUUGCAAGAAUAGUACAGGAACUUUUUUUCCCCUGAAGCAUUUGAGGGUUUGUUGCCGCAUGGUGCUCACCACACCCCAAAACAAGGACAUUCUCCUACACGCCCCAACACGGCUGUCCAAGGCGGGAAAUCACGUGGAGUCAGACCCCACUCUGGGCUUUCUGGUUGUCCCAGUAAUAUCCCUUGCAGUAAAGAGAUCAGCCUGGGACCACACAUUGCACUGAGGUGCCAUCAUGUCUUCUGUCUCCUUCGGUCCGGAACAUUCCUGGGCCUUUCCCUGACUGUUCUUUGAAGCUUCCAGGCCAGGCCUUUUGGAGACGGUUCCCUGUGUGGCUUUGUCUGAGAUGUCAUCACAGAGAGACACAGGUUGUGCAUCUUUGGCAGGAAAGGAGCAGAUGUGACACUGUGGUCUGCUCACCCCACCCUGUCAGGUGGGGCAGGACUCUGAUGGAUCCAGUAUCAAUGGAGCCCACCGCGAUCGCUCGGUUAAGGUGGGGUCUGUGUCUCCGCUGGAACUGACAUUCUUUUUCCCUUUGUGACAAAUUAGCAUUUUGUGGGGAAGAUUCCUCCCUCCCUCCCUCGUUCCUCCCUCUCUCCCCCUCUCUUUUUUAGAGACAGGGUCUCACUCUGUUGUCCUGGCUGAAGUGCACUGAUGCUAUCCUAGCUCACUGCAGCCUCGGACUCCUUGGCUCAACCAAUCCUCCUUCCUCAGCUUCCUGAGUUGCUGGGACCACAGGUGCAUGCCAUCAUGCAUAGCUACUUUUUGUUAUUGUUGUUGUUUGUUUUAUUUUUGAGACAGGGUCUUGCUCUGUUGCCCAGGCUGGCAUGUAGUGGCAACAUGACAGCUCACUGCAGCCUUGACCUCCUGGGCUCAAGUGAUCCUCCUGUCUCAGUCUCUCAAGUAUCUGGGACUACAGGCCUGCACCACCACACUUAGCUGAUUUUUAAAUUUUUUUAGAAGUAGGGUCUCUAUGUUGCCCAGGCUGGUCACGAACUCCUGGGCUCAAGCAGCCGUUCCACCUUGGCCUCCCCAGAAGUGCUGGGAUUACAGGCAUGAGCCACCAUGCCCAGCUGAUACGUUUAAAAUAUGCAAAUAGCUCUUUUUAAAUUUUCAAUUCAUUAAUAUAUUUUAAUAAAUAUUAAAAUAUGUAUA